AUUGAACGCUGGCGGCAGGCCUAAUACAUGCAAGUCGAGCGGACGAAGGGAGCUUUCGCCUGGCUUCCGCUACCGACGGGUGAGUAAUGCCCAGGAAUCUACCUGAUAUUGGGGACUGACGUACGGAAAGGGACCCUAAUAUCGCAUCCGACCUGAUGUUGAACGGGGGGGAUCUUCAGUCCACACGGUAUCUGCUGAGCCUAAGAGGGAUUAGCUAGUUGGUGUGGUAAGGGCCUACCAAGGCGACGAUCCGUAACUGGUCUGAGAGGAUGAUCAGUCACACUGGAACUGAGACACGGUCCAGACUCCUACGGGAGGCAGCAGUGGGGAAUAUUCGACAAUGGGCGAAAGCCUGAUCCAGCCACGCCGCGUGUGUGAUGAAGGUCUUCGGAUUGUAAAGCACUUUUAGUAGGGAGGAAGAAAUGUAAAAUAAACUCUUGCUGUUUUGACGUUACCAACACAAUAAGCCCCGGCUAACUUCGUG
rnacentral:rRNA from 1 species